GCUCAGGGCUUGCCGCCCGGCGCCGUCACGCUGUCUGGACGUUAUUAGAAAAAGGAAGAAAAAAAAACUAGUGUAAAAAAGGAAGUGACUUCCGACCACGUGGCCCAUCCCUGGGCGGCCCAACGGCCCCGCCCCUGCCCGCUGCCAAAUCGGCCCGCUCUGUCCCAGCCGCCGUGCUGGCGGGUCACUUAGCCGUCCCGGGGCCCUGGCUGAAGUUCUUUGAAGGAGUUUUCCCCUCCUGGCAGAGGGAAGAGAGGCUCCAGCAGAAUUUGUUCCCAACGGUCAGCUUCAUCUCGAUAAUAUGGCAUGCGUACUGUAUGCCAGGCGCUGUGCUUUGGCUUGUGAGUUCGUCUCUGAUUCAGAGGCAGUUUUUUCCAAGAGCCAGAGGGGUUAAAUGCCGAGGAGCCUGUCGAGUUCUCAAGAGGGGAAGAUGCAAAAGGCACACUCACCUGGACAGGCCGAAGUCAGAUACUUUAACAACUCCUUGAUCGUUUACCAAACAGUUUCGAGCAGCCUGUAGUGUGAGAGAUACCAGUGAGACCCCGUCCCUGGCACACAGAUUAAAGGCACAGAGCUUCUGCCCACCAGGGGAGUGAAGCCACGGAAGCCUCAUCUCCUUCAACUAGAGACCCCUUCUCACCUAACCAGAGGAAGUUGAUGCCACUGAGAAAUGUUGCAUUUCCAACACAGGUAAACCUGAAAUGAUGGCUCCAGCAGUCCUUCUCAUCCAUUUAUGAUAUGUCUUCCUGUGCUACUUCCACCCCCUCAGCCCUUGGUCCCAGGCCAAUCCUUUGAGGUCCUACCAGGUCUCGGUGAAGGAACUGCUUUGACUCCAGGUAUUCCAUGGCUUCGCAGACAUCCUUGCACAUCUCCAGGAGCUGCUGAGUCUGGAAGCGGUGGCGCAUCUCCCUCAGGUGACUGGAUUAAAUGGUUGCCAAGAGCUUCCCAAUAGCCCUCUAUCUUUCCACUGAAGAGGAAGUCCUAACUAGGACAAAUCCCCUGUCUCAGCAAGAAUACCAGCCAACACUGCCAGGUCCCAGGGGAAUUCUAAGACUGGUGUGUUUUCAGACCGUGACUGUGAGUUGCUAUUUAAGCAGUAGCAGCACCCAAUUUCCCUGUAUACCUGGUCCUCCUCAGGCGUGGGAGGAAGAGGCUUUUUUGUCUUUCGGUGAGAACUCCCAGGUUUUAAGCCUGCAAAGUAAAGAAACCAGUGAGCGUAAAGAAUGCAUCUUAAGAAAAGGCCCGGGGACAGGUUUGGUCAGGGACUUUGCUCUUGGACACAGUGCCUGUAGGCAAGUUAGGAAAAGUCGGGUGGAUACAGCCCUGGGCCAGGUGGCACAGCUUGGAGAACAGAGCACCGGCUGGGUCUUAGCCCCCACUAAUCCCCUCUUCAUGCAGCGGCCAAAAUGUACAACCUCGUGCCACGUCCCUGGGUUUGAUAGAUCUUUGAGGGUGAUGGAGGGAGAAAUUAGAUUGAUCAGAUC